AUAUAUCAUCAUCAUCAUCAUCAUUAUCAUCAUCAUGGUCAUCAUCAUCAUCAUCAUCAUUAUUAUCAUUGUCAUCAUCAUCAUCAUCAUCAAUUUUAACAAUUAAAAUAAUUAACUCAGCAUAUUAAUGAGAGGACAUAAAAAUUAAGAGAAAAAAAAAGUACAAAGAUUAUGAAACAGAAAUCAAACAAACAAAACAAUGUUUUUUUUUUUUUAAAAAAAAAUGACAAUUUAUCCAAAACACAAACAAAGAAAAA